GAAAACCAAUUGUAAAGGUUCGUUGGUAAGCCCGUAAAACCAACAUAGGUUGUUGGUAAGCCCGUAAAACCAACGUAGGUUGUUGGUGAACCCGUAAAACCAAUUGUAUAGGUUCGUUGGUGAGCCCGUAAAACCAACAUAGGUUUUUGGUGAAUUCGGAAAACCAAAGUGUAUAGGUUCGUUGGUGAGCCCGUAAAACCAACAUAGGUUUUUGGAUUGUGAGCCCGGAAAACAAUCCAACUGUAAUCCGCAGGAUUAUAGUGAAUUCCCAAGGGGACGCUUGGGGAGUGGACGUAGGUGCUAAGGAGAGCACCGAACCACUAUAUAUUGUUGUGUUUGUGUUGUGCUUGUGCUUACAUUUAUUCUUGCAUCAUCUUCUAUCUUUGCACUAGUUUAAAUCAUUCAAAUAGUUUAAGGAAGCAUCCACCGCACUAAUUAAGAAAACGUUUAAAGCACCAAAAUUUAGAAGAAACCAAUUCACCCCCCCUCUUGGCUUGUCACCUUGGGCAACA
rnacentral:lncRNA from 1 species